GAAGCCGUAGGACAGGUGGUUUCCUCGGUCCAUUUGAGGAAGUGGCAUGGCGUUUAGGACACCUGGUUCGCCUUCAGCAACUUGG
rnacentral:tRNA from 1 species